rnacentral:rRNA from 1 species
CAGUAGCCGCGGUAAUACGAGGGGGGCAAGCGUUGUUCGGAUUUAUUGGGCGUAAAGGGUGCGUAGGCGGUUUGGCAAGUCUUAUGUGAAAUCUUCGGGCUCAACCCGAAGCCUGCAUGAGAAACUACCGGGCUUGAGUAUGGGAGAGGUGAGUGGAAUUUCCGGUGUAGCGGUGAAAUGCGUAGAUAUCGGAAGGAACACCUGUGGCGAAAGCGGCUCACUGGACCAUAACUGACGCUGAAGCACGAAAGCUAGGGGAGCAAACAGGAUUAGAUACCCCCGUAGUCCCUGUCUCUUAUCC